rfam:Otolemur garnettii contig093547, whole genome shotgun sequence.
GUUAGGCGGGGUGGCAGGUGCCUGUAGAACCAGCUACUCUAGAGGGGAAGGAUCACUUCAGUCCAGGAAUUCUGCUCUGUAGUGUGCUGUAUCGAUCAGGUGUCUGUGCUAUGUUCAACAUCAGUAUGAUGACCUCCCAGAAUCAGGGGGCCACUAGGUUGCCUAGGGAGGGGUAAGUUGGCCCAGGUCUGAAGCAGACCCGGCUCAGAACUCCCAUGCUGAUCAGUAAUGGGAUUGUGCCUGUGAACAGCCACUGCACUCUAGCCUGGGCAACAUAGCCAGACCAGGUCUCUA